rnacentral:rRNA from 1 species
AGAGUUUGAUCCUGGCUCAGGACGAACGCUGGCGGCAUGCCUAAUACAUGCAAGUCGAACGCUUUUGUUUCACCGGGUGCUUGCACCCACCGAGACAAAAGAGUGGCGGACGGGUGAGUAACACGUGGGUAACCUGCCCAUAAGAGGGGGAUAACAUCCGGAAACGGAUGCUAAUACCGCAUAUUUCCAAUUGUCUCCUGACAGAUGGAAAAAAGGUGGCUUCGGCUACCGCUUAUGGAUGGACCCGCGGCGUAUUAGCUAGUUGGUGAGGUAAUGGCUCACCAAGGCGAUGAUACGUAGCCGACCUGAGAGGGUGAUCGGCCACACUGGGACUGAGACACGGCCCAGACUCCUACGGGAGGCAGCAGUAGGGAAUCUUCCGCAAUGGACGAAAGUCUGACGGAGCAAUGCCGCGUGAGUGAAGAAGGUUUUCGGAUCGUAAAACUCUGUUGUUAGAGAAGAACAAGGAUGAGAGUAACUGCUCAUCCCCUGACGGUAUCUAACCAGAAAGCCACGGCUAACUACGUGCCAGCAGCCGCGGUAAUACGUAGGUGGCAAGCGUUGUCCGGAUUUAUUGGGCGUAAAGCGAGCGCAGGCGGUUCUUUAAGUCUGAUGUGAAAGCCCCCGGCUCAACCGGGGAGGGUCAUUGGAAACUGGAGAACUUGAGUGCAGAAGAGGAGAGUGGAAUUCCACGUGUAGCGGUGAAAUGCGUAGAUAUGUGGAGGAACACCAGUGGCGAAAGCGACUCUCUGGUCUGUAACUGACGCUGAGGCUCGAAAGCGUGGGGAGCAAACAGGAUUAGAUACCCUGGUAGUCCACGCCGUAAACGAUGAGUGCUAAGUGUUGGAGGGUUUCCGCCCUUCAGUGCCGCAGCUAACGCAUUAAGCACUCCGGCCUGGGGAGUACGACCGCAAGGUUGAAACUCAAAGGAAUUGACGG